GACGAACGCUGGCGGCGUGCUUAACACAUGCAAGUCGAACGGAAAGGCCCUGCUUUUGUGGGGUGCUCGAGUGGCGAACGGGUGAGUAACACGUGAGUAACCUGCCCUUGACUUUGGGAUAACUUCAGGAAACUGGGGCUAAUACCGGAUAGGAGCUCCUGCUGCAUGGUGGGGGUUGGAAAGUUUCGGCGGUUGGGGAUGGACUCGCGGCUUAUCAGCUUGUUGGUGGGGUAGUGGCUUACCAAGGCUUUGACGGGUAGCCGGCCUGAGAGGGUGACCGGCCACAUUGGGACUGAGAUACGGCCCAGACUCCUACGGGCGGCAGCAGUGGGGAAUAUUGCACAAUGGGCGGAAGCCUGAUGCAGCAACGCCGCGUGCGGGAUGACGGCCUUCGGGUUGUAAACCGCUUUCGCCUGUGACGAAGCGUGAUUGACGGUAAUGGGUAAAGAAGCACCGGCUAACUACGUG
rnacentral:rRNA from 1 species